ensembl:lncRNA
AAAAAUAAUAAUAAUAAAAAAAAAAGAUAUUGUUCUCUAGCACAAACAUUCCAGCAAGUGUAGUUGCCUAUAAGAAACACUAAUACUCUUAAGGUUUCAAAGGAAGAGUCCUAGAUCUAUUAAAGAAAAACUCUCAAGAUUACAGGAAAAUUUUCACCAUUCUCAGUAAAUGUAUUUUAGACAGAAGCUCAGCUUUAUAAUGACAAGAUAAAGAAUAAUCAUAAAAUUAACUUAAAUAUUAUGAUAAGUGAUAUAUAAGUAUUUUCUACCCUUUCUUAUCUUUUCUCAACAAAGGGCAAUGACUUAAAUCAUUGUUUUGCAUUUUCUAAAGUCCUUGUGUUAAUGGUUUCUUUACUUAAAGAUUUCAUUAAGUGACACUGAAAGUACUUCAACUCUAAUUUUAAGCUCAGCAGAAUGAAGGAAUCUAGGACUUAUAAUAAUUUAUUUCUGCAUUAGCAAAGAUUUUUUUUCAUUAGUUGUAAAAAUUCAAUUGAAAAGGGCAUAGUAAAACAGCCAUUCUUAUCUAUUUUUUGAUGAGUGAAUAAAUCUGUGUAACCUUUUGAAGAGGCAAUUCAAAUAUAUCAAGAGCCUUAUAUUAGUUGUCUAUUGUUACAUUAAAAAUUAUCCCCAAACAACAGACAUUUUCAUCCCACAGUUUCUGCAGGUUAGGAAUUCCCAGGCAGCUUAGCUGACUAGCUCUAGCUCAGAUCUCUCAAAGGCUGUAGUCAAUGUGUUGGCGCCGGCUGCGUUCAUCUAAAGGCUUGUCUGGGGCUACAAGAUUUGCUUCCAAAAUGACUCACUUGCCUGCCUGUUGGAUGGAGGCCCUGGACAAAGCUGUAAGCAGAGGUCACUGCCUGGACCUCUCCAUGGGCUGCUUGAGCAUCCUCACAACAUGGCAACUCGUUUCCCCAAAGCAAAUGUCCCAAGAGAAAGAAGGAAAGAAGUCACAGGCCUUUGAUGACCCAGUCUCAGAAGCCACAUCCAUCACUUCUGCCAUAGUCUAUUCAUUAGAAGUGAAUCACUAAGUUCAUCUCAUAUUCAAGAGGAGGGGAAUUAAGAGCCAUCUCUUGAAGGAAGGAGUAAUCAAAGAAAUUUUAGACAUGUUUUCAGACCACAACAAGCCCUAAAAUAUUUUGAAAAUUGUCCAAAACACACAUACACACCCUCACACCCACAUCCCUUUAUGAUAUUGUUCACUGCAGUGGUAUUUAUGAAACAAAAUCAUAAAAGCCUUCAAUAUCCAACUGUCAGGAAAAUGUUGAGCAAAGUAAGAUACGUGCAUGUUAUGCAGCAAUUUCAAAUAAUCCAAGAAAAUUCAAGGGCAUAUGCAGGGAUUUUUAUUAUAACAUUAGAUGGAAAAAGCAUUAUAUGGAAAAAUAUUUAAAAGAAAUAAAUCGAAAUGUUAAAACCGGUCACCUUUGGGUGUUAGAGUUGAAGCUUGAUAUUCUCCUUGCUCUGCUUUUCAGUAUUUCCACAUAAUGAAGCAUCUAGUUUCCUCUAUCCCAGCUUGCGGUGUACAUACCUACGUGUACUCAGAAAUGCCAUGCUCUUUUAACAUUUACAAGUGCAAUCAUUUAUUCAACAGUUUUCUAACUUUUAACAGGAGAAUGUCUUCAUUCCACUUUAAAGUUAUCACACUAGUGAUUUUUUAAUUAUAAAACCUCAACCUGAAAGACACAGCAAAACAGACAGUCUUGUUCACUGCUGAUAGUGGGGAGAACACCGACCCUCCACUCCACCAGGGAUCUCGUUAUGCUCAGGAGAGGCCUGGAGCAGUGCUGGGAGGAGACCAGACGCAUGCAGUGAAGGGCAUGUGGAGGUCUGUCCCAGCAUUCACAUGGAGCCACUCUCUUCCCAGGUUGCCCCCCGUCAAUGACUGGGCCCCACAGGGCUAGGGGAGCUGGCGGUUCCUGGCCAACACAAGAGUCCUCUACCCGGCGACCUUUGCUCUGAAACUCCCCAUCAGCCUGAUUCAGACUUUCUCAGAGCUGCAUUGCGAUCCGAGGUUCUGCCUCCAGAUCCUUCUUCCUCCUCCCUCUCCUUUCACAGGUGUCAGAGCUGCAGCAGGUUCUGACAUUUCUCUCUAACUGCUCCCAUGACCUCGCCCCUUUAUCUUUCACAGGUGUUUGCCACAGUAAAUCUCUGGAUAGCCAACAC